AAGCGUAGCGAUACGUUGAGCUAACCAGUACUAAUGAUCCGUGAGGCUUAACCUUACAACACCGAAGGUGUUU
rnacentral:rRNA from 1 species